rnacentral:tRNA from 1 species
UCCCUGGUGGCUCAGUGGUAAAGAAUCUGCCUGCAAUGCAGGACACCUGGGUUUGAUCCCUGGUGGGGAA